UACGUAGGGUGCGAGCGUUGUCCGGAAUUAUUGGGCGUAAAGGGCUCGUAGGCGGUCUGUCUCGUCGGGAGUGAAAACACGGGGCUUAACCCCGUGCCUGCUUCCGAUACGGGCAGACUAGAGGUAUGCAGGGGAGAACGGAAUUCCUGGUGUAGCGGUGAAAUGCGCAGAUAUCAGGAGGAACACCGGUGGCGAAGGCGGGUCUCUGGGCCGAUAUUGACGCUGAGGAGCGAAAGCGUGGGGAGCGAACAGG
rnacentral:rRNA from 1 species